GACAAACGCUGGCGGCGUGCCUAAUACAUGCAAGUCGAACGCAGUGGGGACGGGUGAGUAACACGUGGGUAACCUCCCAUCAGAGGGGAUAACACUUGGAAACAUGUGCUAAACCGCUACUGAUGGAUGGACCCGCGGUGCAUUAGCUAGUUGGUGAGGUAACGGCUCACCAAGGCCAAGAUGCAUAGCCGACCUGGAAGGGUGAUCGGCAAAACGGGGACUGGGAAACGGCCAGAACUCCUACGGGAGGCAGCGGUAGGGAAUCUUCGGCAAUGGAGGAAAGUCUGACCGAGCAACGCCGCGUGAGGGAAGAAGGUUUUCGGAUCGUAAAUCUCUGUUGUUAGAGAAGCGGUAUCUAACCAGAAAGCCACGGCUAACUACGUGCCAGCAGCCGCGGUAAUUC
rnacentral:rRNA from 1 species